rnacentral:rRNA from 1 species
GGUCCAGACUUUGAUUCUGGCUCAGGAUGAACGCUAGCUACAGGCUUAACACAAGCAAGUCGAGGGGAAACGACAUUGGAAGCUGGCUUCCUUUGGGCGUCGACCGGCGCACGGGUGAGUAACGCGUAUCCAACCUUCCCGCAAGUAAGGGAUAACCCGUAGAAAUGCGGCCUAAUACCUUAUGUUUUCCUUAGAGGGCAUCUGAUGAGGAACAAAGAUCCGUCGCUUGCGGAUGGGGAUGCGUCUGAUUAGUUAGUCGGCGGGGUAACGGCCCACCGAGACGACGAUCAGUAGGGGUUCUGAGAGGAAAGUCCCCCACAUUGGAACUGAGACACGGUCCAAACUCCUACGGGAGGCAGCAGUGAGGAAUAUUGGUCAAUGGGCGGAAGCCUGAACCAGCCAAGUAGCGUGCAGGACGACGGCCCUAUGGGUUGUAAACUGCUUUUAUGCGGGGAUAAAGUGGGCCACGUGUGGCCUUUUGCAGGUACCGCAUGAAUAAGGACCGGCUAAUUCCGUGCCAGCAGCCGCGGUAAUACGGAAGGUCCGGGCGUUAUCCGGAUUUAUUGGGUUUAAAGGGAGCGCAGGCCGCCGGGCAAGCGUGUUGUGAAAUGCAGUCGCUCAACGUCUGCACUGCAGCGCGAACUGCCCAGCUUGAGUGUGCGCAACGUUGGCGGAAUUCGCCGUGUAGCGGUGAAAUGCUUAGAUAUGGCGAAGAACUCCGAUUGCGAAGGCAGCUGACGGGUGCGUAACUGACGCUCAUGCUCGAAAGUGCGGGUAUCGAACAGGAUUAGAUACCCUGGUAGUCCGCACGGUAAACGAUGGAUGCCCGCUAUUCGGCCCAUGCGGUUGAGUGGCCAAGCGAAAGCGUUAAGCAUCCCACCUGGGGAGUACGCCGGCAACGGUGCAACUCAAAGGAAUUGACGG